UCACCUCAUUUCGAUAGUGUGUAUAGUAAAAUUGGAAAGAUACCAAGAAGAUGGUCCCUGUCCAAAGAUGACACCCAAAAUGGCGAAGCAUUCCAUAUUUUU
rnacentral:snRNA from 1 species